GAUGAACGCUGGCGGCGUGCUUAACACAUGCAAGUCGAACGGAAAGGCCCCGCUUUUGUGGGGUGCUCGAGUGGCGAACGGGUGAGUAACACGUGAGUAUCCUGCCCUUGACUUUGGGAUAACUUCAGGUAAAUGGGGCUAAUACCGGAAAGGAGCCCCUGCUGCCUGGUGGGGGUUGGAAAGUUUCGGCGGUUGGGGAUGGGCUCGCGGCUUAUCAGCUUGUUGGUGGGGUAGUGGCUUACCAAGGCUUUGAAGGGUAGCGGGCCUGAGAGUGGUACCGGCCACAGGAGGACUGUGAUACGGCCCGGGCUACUGCGGGAUGCAGCAGUGGGGUAUAAUGCAUGAUGCGCGGAAGCCUGAUGCAGCAACGCCGCGUGCGGGAUUGCAGCCUUCGUGUUGAAGACCGCUUUCGCCUGUGACGAUGCGUUGGUGACGGUAAUUGGUAAAGAAGCACCGGCUAACUACGUG
rnacentral:rRNA from 1 species